rnacentral:rRNA from 1 species
UACGUAGGGUGCAAGCGUUGUCCGGAAUUCUUGGGCGUAAAGGGCUCGUAGGCGGUCCAUCGCGUCGGGAGUGAAAAGCUGGGGCUUAACCCCAGUCCUGCUUCCGAUACGGGUGGACUAGAGGUAGGUAGGGGAGAACGGAAUUCCUGGUGUAGCGGUGAAAUGCGCAGAUAUCAGGAGGAACACCGGUGGCGAAGGCGGUUCUCUGGGCCUUACCUGACGCUGAGGAGCGAAAGCAUGGGGAGCAAACAGG